UGCACUGUAGCUUUAAGCGGUAGAGCAACUCGUCCUGAGGAACGGAACGAGCUGGCGCGGGUUCGACUCCCGCCAGUGCAA
rnacentral:tRNA from 1 species